rnacentral:rRNA from 1 species
CUUGCUCUCGGGUGACGAGCGGCGGACGGGUGAGUAAUGUCUGGGAAACUGCCUGAUGGAGGGGGAUAACUACUGGAAACGGUAGCUAAUACCGCAUAACGUCGCAAGACCAAAGUGGGGGACCUUCGGGCCUCAUGCCAUCAGAUGUGCCCAGAUGGGAUUAGCUAGUAGGUGGGGUAACGGCUCACCUAGGCGACGAUCCCUAGCUGGUCUGAGAGGAUGACCAGCCACACUGGAACUGAGACACGGUCCAGACUCCUACGGGAGGCAGCAGUGGGGAAUAUUGCACAAUGGGCGCAAGCCUGAUGCAGCCAUGCCGCGUGUGUGAAGAAGGCCUUCGGGUUGUAAAGCACUUUCAGCGGGGAGGAAGGCGGUGAGGUUAAUAACCUCAUCGAUUGACGUUACCCGCAGAAGAAGCACCGGCUAACUCCGUGCCAGCAGCCGCGGUAAUACGGAGGGUGCAAGCGUUAAUCGGAAUUACUGGGCGUAAAGCGCACGCAGGCGGUCUGUCAAGUCGGAUGUGAAAUCCCCGGGCUCAACCUGGGAACUGCAUUCGAAACUGGCAGGCUAGAGUCUUGUAGAGGGGGGUAGAAUUCCAGGUGUAGCGGUGAAAUGCGUAGAGAUCUGGAGGAAUACCGGUGGCGAAGGCGGCCCCCUGGACAAAGACUGACGCUCAGGUGCGAAAGCGUGGGGAGCAAACAGGAUUAGAUACCCUGGUAGUCCACGCCGUAAACGAUGUCGAUUUGGAGGUUGUGCCCUUGAGGCGUGGCUUCCGGAGCUAACGCGUUAAAUCGACCGCCUGGGGAGUACGGCCGCAAGGUUAAAACUCAAAUGAAUUGACGGGGGCCCGCACAAGCGGUGGAGCAUGUGGUUUAAUUCGAUGCAACGCGAAGAACCUUACCUGGUCUUGACAUCCACAGAACUUUCCAGAGAUGGAUUGGUGCCUUCGGGAACUGUGAGACAGGUGCUGCAUGGCUGUCGUCAGCUCGUGUUGUGAAAUGUUGGGUUAAGUCCCGCAACGAGCGCAACCCUUAUCCUUUGUUGCCAGCGGUUAGGCCGGGAACUCAAAGGAGACUGCCAGUGAUAAACUGGAGGAAGGUGGGGAUGACGUCAAGUCAUCAUGGCCCUUACGACCAGGGCUACACACGUGCUACAAUGGCAUAUACAAAGAGAAGCGACCUCGCGAGAGCAAGCGGACCUCAUAAAGUAUGUCGUAGUCCGGAUUGGAGUCUGCAACUCGACUCCAUGAAGUCGGAAUCGCUAGUAAUCGUAGAUCAGAAUGCUACGGUGAAUACGUUCCCGGGCCUUGUACACACCGCCCGUCACACCAUGGGAGACGU